AAUAGUAUCAUGAGUUUUUCUGUAGGCACUUGAUGUAGCUUCCAAGAUAUUAAGAAAAGGAGCUGAGCCAUUCAAGAGAUUAUCCAGUCAAACUGAUCACAAGUUUUACAGAGCAUUAUAUGAUUUAAGAAGAAGAUGGAUACUACGUAGAACAGCUAAUGGAGUCAGUGGAGACCUCAGCUAUAGAUCAGCUGAUUCACUGUAUGCUCAGUCAGUUCAGUUUGAGGUUCAUAAAGGAAUUGAAGGGACUAAUGAUAUACUGUCAGUAGUGGUACCUCAAGAAUUAAGAGGAAGGAGUGAAGUAGUUAUAUUCCUAGCAGACAGACCUAUUAAAGAGGUUUUUCUCUUGAUUCUUUGUUGCUGUCUUGUUUCAUUGAGCUUCAUAAGCCACAGUUAAUGUUAACUCCUUGAGAGCAGAUACUUAAAAAAUGUGCUCUUCAAUGAAGAACUAUUUGCACAGAUUGCACAAUCAUUUGUGAUCAGGAACUUGUAUUAUAUAAUGUGAAACUGCACAAGAGGAAAGGUCAUGACUAGUGGGUGGAUCAUUGAACCUUAUCGCUAUAAAGAUAAACUACUGACACAAGUCACGUAUCUUGUGCAGAGGGUGUGGUUGUGGGUGGAGUCAAACAUGACAUACACUGAAUAGGUUGAAAUGAGAGGAGUACCAGCAACACUGGUUAAUAUUGUGUCAAGACGUCCGCCAUUAGCAAUUACAUAUUUACGUGAUUAUUUACAAACAACUAGUUUAAAUUCAAAUAAUCUAUUAAUAAGAAUAAUAAUUAACACUUACAGUGACUAAUGUGGAGGGGAAGGGAGAGAGAAUGUGUGUGAGAGAGAGAAAUGGAAAAGAGAUAUAAAAUGCCAUACCAUAAUUAUAGUAUAUUUAGUUUAUUGCAGUUUUAUUGAACAACUAUUUUAAUAUUUCAUUAUA